rnacentral:rRNA from 1 species
GUGGGGAAUCUUCCGCAAUGGACGAAAGUCUGACGGAGCAACGCCGCGUGAGUGAAGAAGGUUUUCGGAUCGUAAAGCUCUUUCGUUAGGGACGAACGUGCUCUUUGUGAAUAAUGAGGAGUAAUGACGGUACCUAAAUAAGAAGCCACGGCUAACUACGUGCCAGCAGCCGCGGUAAUACGUAGGUGGCAAGCGUUGUCCAGAAUUAUUGGGCGUAAAGCGCGCGCAGGCGGGAUAUCAAGUCUGUCUUAAAAGUGCGAGGCUCAACCUCGUGAGGGGACAGAAACUGGUAUUCUUGAGUGUCGGAGAGGAAAGUGGAAUUCCAAGUGUAGCGGUGAAAUGCGUAGAGAUUUGGAAGAACACCAGUGGCGAAGGCGACUUUCUGGACGAUGUCUGACGCUGAGGCGCGAAAGCUAGGGGAGCGAACGGGAUUAGAAACCCCGGUAGUCC